AAAAAAUCAACCCCUGAGUUUUCGUGUCCAACUUUAGUCUUAUAUGAAAUUUUUUUACAAUUCGUAUUUUCAUUGUUGUUAGAUGAUAAAAUAUGAUUAAUAUUUUAUGCGUGACUUGUCUUUUUAUUUUUUUUCAUAAUUUUUUCAAAUAAGACGGACGGUCAAACGUUGGGCACGGAAACCAGGGUUUGUCUUUUU
rfam:Oryza barthii chromosome 1, whole genome shotgun sequence.